UUAACAAAAUUGUAUCUCCGCUCAGCUCUGUUAACUUGCCGCUCAGAUCUGUUAAUUUGCCGCUCUCAAUUUUCGAUUCGAGUGGUGAGCUUCUAGAGCGAUUUUGGUAGUGUUUGACAAUUCACACGGCUAUUCGUAAUUGCCGCUUCUCUGUUUUAAACGUUCUCUGUUCUUGCGAUACAGGAAUGAUAGAAUACAAGAUUGCGC